rnacentral:rRNA from 1 species
CAAUAGCUCAAAUUUGAAAGCUGGCUUAUGGCCCGCAUUGUAAUUUGUAGAGGAUGCUUUUAGGCAGCCGCCGGUCUAAGUUCCUNGGAACAGGACGUCAUAGAGGGUGAGAAUCCCGUAUGUGACCGGCUCUGGCACCUUAUGUAAAGCUCCUUCGACGAGUCGAGUUGUUUGGGAAUGCAGCUCUAAAUGGGAGGUAAAUUUCUUCUAAAGCUAAAUACUGGCGAGAGACCGAUAGCGCACAAGUAGAGUUAUCGAAAGAUGAAAAGCACUUUGGAAAGAGAGUUAAAAAGCACGUGAAAUUGUUGAAAGGGAAGCGCUUGCAAUCAGACUUGGACUUGGCUGUUCAACAGGUCUUCUGACCUGCCUAUUCAGUCUUGUCCAGGCCAGCAUCAGUUUCGGCGGCCGGAUAAGGGCCCUAGGAAUGUGGCUUUNCCUUCGGGGGAAGUGUUAUAGCCUAGGGUGUCAUACGGCCAGCUGGGACUGAGGUCCGCGCUUCGGCUAGGAUGCUGGCGUAAUGGUUGUAAGCGGCC